rnacentral:rRNA from 1 species
UACAGAGGGGGCAAGCGUUGUUCGGAAUUACUGGGCGUAAAGGGCGCGUAGGCGGCCCGUUAAGUCGAACGUGAAAUCCCCGGGCUCAACCCGGGAACUGCGUCCGAUACUGGCAGGCUUGAAUCCGGGAGAGGGAUGCGGAAUUCCCGGUGUAGAGGUGAAAUUCGUAGAUAUCGGGAGGAACACCAGUGGCGAAGGCGGCGAUCUGGGAAGAUACUGACGCUGAGGUGCGAAAGCGUGGGGAGCAAACAGG